rnacentral:lncRNA from 1 species
UAUGUGUGUACCUGAGUAGUUUGGCACCAACCCUAUGCAUUAGGCGGUUCUUUCUGAAUUUGAACGUGCAACGGGACUUUUUAGUGGGCAGCGGAGAAGUUGGAGCAUUAGAAGCUUAUAGCUUGGUCAGCUCACCAACAACCUUGCGUUACAGCCAGAAUCAUGCUGCUUUGGUUUCUGCGCCUUUGAGGUAAUGUGCGGAGGAACAUCCUAUGGAACAGACGAAACAUGGCCGAGAGGUCGAUAUUUUUCCUAGCAUCGUUUCUUCUGCGCUGGAAAGGAAAGACGGCCAUGGAACAACAAAAUCGUGUUAUACGGCGGUGUAGCGAGAAGGUUUUCACUCGGCUUUCGACUUCGGAAGCCGUGUCCUCGAGGGACGAGGAGCUGGGUUCCAGGUGCAGGAUCUUGAGGAGAGUCUGACUUUGAAUCUCUAGUCAGGGCACCUGACGGCAGAGUCGACACCUUCUUAUGUCUCCCACAGGUGCAGUAGUAUAUGGGGCUCCUCCGUGCAUCACUGAGCAACAUUUUUGAGAGUCCCAUUUUAGUGGCUAACGUUUUGUUGCCGGCUUUUAGUGGGUCGCAGUCGGCAGCGAAGAACUGCCCCCACGAUUAGCAUUCCGACGUUUAAUCUGUGAAAUCUGGAGGGAGAUACCAGGUGUAUCUUAAGCACCGGGGAUCGGGUAGACACGAAAACUGUUCCAUCCGUCCAACAACCGAAGUAAUCUGUGCCGGCCUGUGAAGAGAUCGCCGCAACCGUGGACGACAGUGACAUAAGCAGAUGAGGCCACGCCUUUCAACGGUCUGCUACUAAACGAUACCGGAGACUCCUUUCUACACAUCGUAGCAACACGCGAAUUUACUGACGCACAUUCAACAGGAGGCAAGUUUCUAAUUUUAGACGUGCACAUCGUUGACAAGAACACAUACGUGACGGCGAAUAGAUGAUGCUGACAGUUGCGGCCAGUACAGCGGUUGUUCGAAAAGGUAUUCAAGACUCGGGCAGAUUGAGAGAUGAUGCAGGAAGCGACGUUCGUGGUGAUGGGCCUUCAACGAUUCCGCCUGUAAAACGUGCUGCGAAUGCUCAACUCUAGCC